rnacentral:lncRNA from 1 species
UUUGAACUUUUUUUUUUUCUUUCUGUAAACUAUAUAUUGAAAUUUGUAUACAUAAGUCUUUCGACAAUUUUAAAAUACCUUAAUACAUCAAAUGGUUCUUAACUAAUUAUUUAUUCUGGAAAACAAUUAUUAUUUUUUGAAGGAUGGAAAACAAUUAUUUUUGAAAACUUGUUUAAUAUUUUAGGGAAAUUUAUUUUAUUUUUCGAUCUCAUAUCUAAAUCAUUGUCUUCUUAAUUGCAUAUGCCAAUUCAUCAUAAGCAGUUUCCCAAGCAACGCUGAAUUCCUCACUCCAUUUAUCUCCAACAACUUCUUUCAUAGUUUUGAGCAAUGCUUCUUUCACAACCUGUUGUAUAGCAACGAUAUCCUUAGCUUUCAUUAAGCAAUUUAGCUCUAUAAAAAAAUUAAGUAGAUGACAAGAAAAUUUGAGAAAAUUUAUUAGAAUUAAUUUUUAUUAAAUCUUAUCCUCUUAUGUUUAUAAUAGGGCCCUAUGAAAAAUAAAAUUAUAUACUCUUUUAUAUAUAUUUUUUUUAAAGAUACUCUUUUUAUAUUUUAGAAUGUAAAUAUUUUAUAAAGUUGUAAAUUUCUAGUUUUUAAUAUAUAUAUAUAUAUAUAUGUGUGUGUGUGUGUGUGUGUGGGUUUAUUAGUUUUGAAAUUGAAUUUCAUAUAUAUUAUCUUUAAUUAUUUCAUCCCAUUGAAAACAAUAUUUUGAAUUUGAAAAUUAAUUUGGGACUGCCCUAUUUAGUAUAUAAUUCAAUUUUGGUUUGUUAAAAAAAAAGUUUAAUUGAAUUGAAAGGUGUUUAUUUGUGGCAUUUUACUGCAUUAUGAAAUAAGCAAUUCUUAAAAUUAAUUAAAGGGGUUGAUUAAUUGCAAUACUUCAUACCAUGAAAUGACGAUCAGCUACUCCUUUUUGGGUGUGAACAACCCCCAACACAUUAUCUUCCAGCACGACUUCUCCUUUUACUUGGAGUUGAAUGGCCGCAUCACGCACCUAAAAUUAAAUAAAUAUUUUAUGAUAUGGUAAUGGUAUCAAGAAAUAAUAAUAAUAAUAAUAAUAAUAAUAAUAAUAAAAUUUAAUACAAUUUCUUGUACAUACUUGACUUAUCAUAUUCAAUAUAAAGAAUUUAGCGAUUUCAAUACAAUAGGAUGAAAGAAGAGCAUUCAUCGUUAUAGGAAAUGUCUUUAAAAAAAAAUGUUAUAGGAAAUGCCAAAGAUGCCAUUGAGUAUUUUUUUUUUCUACCUUAAAUAUUCACAUCAUUUUAUUAGUAUAUUUUACAAUUAUCAACUGUUUAUCCUUCUUUUUGGAUAAUAUAUUAGUCUUUUGUUGUUUUUAUAUUAUAUACAAUAAAACAUGAAUUCAACAUUAAUACUACAAAGUGAAUUUCUUGUUAACACUUCUUUAAUAAUCAUAAUCAUUUUUUGAGAAGUUAAUGACAUGUGAUGUUUCAUAGAUUAAAAUAUAUUUAACUUGACUUUGUAUUUUAUGGUCUAGAAGUAUUUCUUCCUUGACAAAUUAUUGUCUAUCUCUUCUUGUAUAAUGUGAAUGUGCAAACAAGUUUGUGAUUUUAUCUAAAAAUGAGGGGAAUUUAGUAAAGUUUGUUAGAAAAUUAAUUAUAAAAAAUUAAAGUGAUGGACAAGGGUAUAAAAUACACUUUAUGGAUACCAAAAAGAUUGAAGUUUGUGAGGGUUGAAUUGUACUCACCAUUCCAAAAACCAUCUCAGCAUGAGCAUUUGCACUAGGAUUACCUUGAAUAACCUCAUUAGAAUCCUUUAGAAAAGAAAACAUAUUUUUUGCUGCAGGUGUUUUCUCCAAUAUACUAUUUUAACAAAAUCAAUCAAAAUGUUUAUGUUUAAACCAUCCCUUAGGAAACACAUCAUACAACAAAUAAAGAAAAGUAUAAAUUGAAAAACAUAUUGAUAAGCAAAACUUACAAGGUGUAAAACAAAACACUAUAGAAAGGAAGGUUUUGAUUGAACGCUUCCCAUGAGCUGUUAACCAAUGCCUCUUGUCUUUGAGUGAAACUCAUAGUUCUCUCCUUUUUUUCAACUUUUUUUUUUUUUAAUUUAAUUUAGAAUUUUUC